AUUGAACGCUGGCGGCAUGCUUUACACAUGCAAGUCGAACGGUAACAGGCCGCAAGGUGCUGACGAGUGGCGAACGGGUGAGUAAUGCAUCGGAACGUGCCCAGUCGUGGGGGAUAACUACUCGAAAGAGUAGCUAAUACCGCAUACUAUCUAUGGAUGAAAGCGGGGGACCGUAAGGCCUCGCGCGAUUGGAGCGGCCGAUGUCAGAUUAGGUAGUUGGUGGGGUAAAGGCUCACCAAGCCAACGAUCUGUAGCUGGUCUGAGAGGACAACCAGCCACACUGGGACUGAGACACGGCCCAGACUCCUACGGGAGGCAGCAGUGGGGAAUUUUGGACAAUGGGCGCAAGCCUGAUCCAGCAAUGCCGCGUGCAGGAAGAAGGCCUUCGGGUUGUAAACUGCUUUUGUACGGAACGAAACGGCUCUGGUUAAUACCCGGGGCUAAUGACGGUACCGUAAGAAUAAGCACCGGCUAACUACGUG
rnacentral:rRNA from 1 species